CCCAUGUUCCUUAGAUCCACCCUUGGGUUCAUACAGUCGGUCCACAGCUCAGGUGUGACUAGCUAGCCGGUCUAUGGCUCAUAUGUGACUAGCUUGAACCAGCAACUUUCUUGGUUGUAUGUCGAGGGUGCUUGAGUCAUAAGCAUGGAACAGUAAUAUACCUCAGUCUGUAGCUGUUAGCCUACCUCUGUUGGUCGCUGUUGCUGCAGACUUGGACAUU